UACGUAGGGGUCUAGCGUUGUCCGGAAUUACUGGGCGUAAAGGGCGCGCAGGCUGUUAUGCGAGUCUGCUGUGAAAUGUACCGGCUCAACCGGUGCCUUGCGGCGGAUACUGCAUAGCUGGAGUACUGGAGAGGGAAGUGGAAUUCCCGGUGUAGCGGUGAAAUACGUAGAGAUAUGGAGGAACACCAUUGGCGAAGGCGGCUUCCUGGUCUGUAACUGACACUGAGGCGCGAAAGCGUGGGGAGCAAACAGGAUUAGAUA
rnacentral:rRNA from 1 species